CAAAUGGAGCCUGUCACCAUCCAUGUUCCUAGGAAUAACCAACAUCAUUUAAAGUACAUAAGCUUGUAUGUAUGCACAAACUCGCACAGAAACACAAAUACACAUUUCCCUAAUACUGGAAAUUUCCUGUAGGUGGUGGGAAACUCCACAGUUUACAUUUACUCCUCAUUAUUGCACGUUACAUUGCGGUAGCAGUAUGUACAAGUCCAAUCCCACAUCUUCUACACGUGGCGACUUAAACUGUUCCUCUCCAAAGCGCUGGUGUGGAGUUACCACUGCAGGGUGUUGUGGAAGGUCAUGCUUCUUCUCCUUUGCUCAUCCUGCCUGUUUCCCUGGCUGAGGAUGGAUGGCAGGAGCCCCAGGAAAGGCUGCUGCACUGUAGCCCUGGUUGUUCCUUCUGGCAGCUGGUCUACAGUGUGAUGGCAAUUGUCUGGAUAUCUCAGCAUGUGGAUCCUGGGGAGGGUCAUGUGAGCCACAGAUGAGGCUAAAGCUCUGCCUGGUUCGGGCAGGGGUGAUUUCCAGCAGAUCUAAGUGGAGUAUGAGAACAGACUCUUUACUCUUCUUCCCAGUCAUGACCUCCUCAGCUGUAAAACCCCAUGUCAUUCACACCCUGUGGCUCCUUGGGCUGAAAGAUCAAAAAGCAAUUGAGCUUGGUGUGCCUGAUUUUUGUACCCUUUGUAUUGCACAUGCAAACUUGAUAUCCAGACCUGAGACUUUGAGUGAGUGGGAUAGAAAAGCCAUGUUUAUUUGCCAGCAAUUCUAUGGUGUGGAGAUACUCUGUAUCUAGAGAUCACAAGCUAUUUUACAAGUGUUAUUAACCUCAUUUUCACAGACAGAGAUGCUGCAGUGAAGGGUGGAUGACUUUGCAAAGCUGUCUAGGAGGAGGGGGCUGUUUGCUGAGAUUUAAAUCCAAGGAAAAGUUAUAUAGAUUGAAAACAUAAACUUGCAUUAGCCUAAUGUAAAUAGCUCUUCCAUAUGUGUGAUCUACUCAUCUGGUGUUCUCACAUCUAUCACGUUGUUAGUGUCCAGAAAUGUUUGUAGAAAAGUUCAGAAAAAAACGGUGCUGUCCUCCUUGCCCAGGGCUGGGGUGUUUCUUUCAUUCCCCAGAACUGCUCAUCAGUCUCCAGGAAUUUAACCAUGAUUCCACUUCCUGUUCAGGAAAUGCCUUGUCAAAAAUGGUUGUCCAUCAAAGAGAUUUAUAUCUCAGUACAGUUCAUAGGAAUCCACUCUCAAAUUGCUUUGUUCCAGAUGCUCAUACUUGGUGUUCAUGUUUCUAAAACCGAUAAACUUGUAUUUCAUGGUAGCUCCUAGGGUGCCCUGCAGACGAGGGUGAGGAUUUCAGGGUUGGCCCCAAAGCAGCAUCACAAAAAGGGAGAACAUUGGAGAAGCAGCUUCCACCAUAACCUUUGUAGGCUGUCCUUGCUGGCACCAUGGGCUUGCCUUUGCAAUGGGGAAGUUCUUAAUAGUGAUAUUUUGCAGUGUGGGCAGAAUGCCUCAGUUGUUCAGGGCACGGAAUUUAUGGCUGCUCUCAAAUCUCUGCAUGACUGUCUCUCAGAGUAUGCAUGUUCCUCAGGUUUCAGAGCCUUGCUCAUUCUUGCUGAGGCAUCAUAGGAUGGUUGCCCCCACUUUCUCCACAAAGCAUCCUUGGAAAGGACUGGAUGGACAAGGAUUUUCCAUCCUUGGAAAAAAAUCGGACAACAUGCCCCAGAACUGGACUCAGUACUCCAGCAAGGGGCUGUUUUCUGUGCAUUGAUUGGACAGAGACUCUCUCUUCACCCCGUUUUGGUGUCCUCUUCUCUCCCUGACCUUCUGAUACCUGCUCAGCAGACCUGUGUGACUUCCCUGCCACUCCAGUGCGUGCUGCAGCAACCUGCCAGCUAAUCGGCCUGAAUUUGCUCACACUGCUGAGACCUGACUUGCAGAUUCCAGCCACCUUUACUUGAGGAAUGACAGCCUGGCAGCCUUCCAGGCUGCCUGCUGGAUCUGGGCCAGCUAUAUAUUGUGAAACUUUUGCUCCUCUUGGACUUUGCAGUAAUUUUGAUCCCCCUGGGGGAUUUGCCUAGUACCAGGUUGAGAAAUCCAAUAAAAAGCCCUGGGAAUUUGCUCUGUGCUCAGCAACACAUAGUUGCUACUGACUCAAAUCCUGUUCCUUUUACAGCAAUAUAAGGGGACUGUAAAACCAAUAAAAGGCACUUUUACCUGUGACUGCAAAUAUUUUGGUGAAUGGGAAAAAACGCUGCAUGUGCUGGGAAUUGAGAUAAGAUUCGAUGUUCAGUCUGAACUGUUAGAAGACAUGUAGUAGAGCUAUAAUUUUACUCUGUACUUCACUUUUGGACCAAGACCAAGACUGAGGUUAUUCUUAUCCUGUGCGUUGCUGAGACUCCUUUCCUUUACUUGAAUACAUUAAAAUUAGCCAAAC